AUGUUGCGUUAGGGAUUGUAGCGACAUCCUUUUUUGCUAUUAAAAGCAAAAAAGAUAUAGCGGAAAGCCCGACCCUUU
rnacentral:sRNA from 1 species